UACGUAGGGGGCAAGCGUUGUCCGGAAUCAUUGGGCGUAAAGCGCGUGUAGGCGGUUCGGUAAGUCCGCUGUGAAAGUCGGGGGCUCAACCCUCGGAUGCCGGUGGAUACUGUCGGGCUUGAGUACGGAAGAGGCGAGUGGAAUUCCUGGUGUAGCGGUGAAAUGCGCAGAUAUCAGGAGGAACACCAAUUGCGAAGGCAGCUCGCUGGGACGUUACUGACACUGAGGAGCGAAAGACGUGGGGGAGCGAAACAGG
rnacentral:rRNA from 1 species